UAUAGGACUUAAGCCUGUUUUAUAAUACAACAUGAAAAUCUCACUUUUUAUAAUAUGGGACCUUUAAGGUGUAUUGACAAUAUUAUAUGUUUUUAUUUAAGUGUUAAGUUAUACUGUAUAUUUCAAUAUGGACCUUGGGAGGAGUAAUUGUUGGCGAGGGGUCUGUAACUGAGAACAUCUUCUUCCAGCUGAAGCACUGGGACCUCAGUUUUUUCUCAAGGCAGAGUAAAAGUAGCUGUCUAGAAAAUUAAUCAAGCAAAGGCAAGAAUAGCUCACUAAAAAUACCCAAAGACCAAGUAACAGUUGAGCCUGUACAGUUUAGAGUAGCCUCUGCUCCUAAAAUCCUCUCAGCUGAAUAUAACAGACUGUCUGUCCUUCCUGCAUGAUGGAUGAGCCCUCAGACAGCAGCAGUAAAUACUGUUUUAUUUUACUGCAAAGACACUGACUGAUGUGAUCCUCAGGGUUUUGUCCUCCUCACCGUGUAAUCGCCCAUUAUUCCUGAAUACACCAGGAGGUUGCAGGCUGUCAGCAGAGCAGCUUCCAUGAAAGACAAAACUGGAUGCACAUCUUACUAUCAGUGAAAGAAAAUGAACCCCCAACAAUUUUCCUAAUCGAUUAAUUGUUUGAGUCAUUAAUUAAGCAAGAAUGCCAAAAUA